AUUCAGCAAGAAAGAAACUCCCAUCUGCAUACCAGCUUCAGAAAUGGCAAACCUGGAAUUUCAGACUUCAGCAGCAGUGAAACUCUGCUGGAAGAUAUGGCUCCAAUUUCCAUGCCGGAAGCAAUGUGCUGGGGGAUACCCUCCUCCCACCUCCCACCAGGACUUGUUAACAGCAGAAACUCUUGGUCUACCAGAGACAGAACCUUCAGGAAAGACAGAGCACUGAGAACUUCAGACUUUCAAGGUGAUCUAAAGAAUAGUUUUCUUAUAACAAAUGAUGCAGUGCAACAGAACCUACAUUCAAGCAGUAAGAGCAGCUCAUGUAACUCUGUGCUGAUGGUGACUUCUGAGUACUCUGGAUGCAAGCUAAACAAGAAGGCCAUUCCUCUGAGUCCAGCAUGAUGUAACAUUAUUUCUGUGAGCCAUGAGCCUUUCCAGUGCAGCAGUUUCCUUUUAACCACAGCUGUGCUGCCAGCAGUGGCCCAGCAGCUGCAGGCAAGGCAUGAAGAGCUGACACUGAACUCUGGGGUGCCUCCUGCUGAGCCACCCUCCAGCCAGCCCUUCCUUCUCCUGGACAUAGGGAAGGGACCAGCCACCAGUUUAGGGCACUGGGAUGCACAUUGGAGGGGAUGGGUACAAGGUAGCUGAGAUGAAAAGCACUCAGGGAGGAUGAGGGGAGGAGUGGGACACAACAUGAAUGCUCUAGUUCUGACCUGUCCCUUGCUCACUAAAACACAGCUGUGUGUGAAUGCUACUUGCAGAGUGUCUUACUUGUAUACUGACCAAAUUUGGAUUGAAUUAUGCUCAGAUUAUUGCACAGCUGAUCUGAACUAAUUUUUGCCAUAUGUAUGUGCCUUGAUUCUCACUGACUUUGCCUUCUGGAGGCAAGCAGACAGCACCAGACACACUUAUUCGUAACUAGGAUUUACCAGCUUAUACCAGAAGCAAAGAGUACAUCUUGGAAAAGAUGUAGUCAUACGGAAAUUUAGAAAAAUUACAUAUGAUCAUGAAAUCAUAGAAUAUUCUGAGUUGGAAGGGACCUACAAGGAUCAUAGAGUCCAACUCUUAGUCGAACAGGACAGCUCCAAGAGUCAUGCCAUGUGCAAACACAUGGUCACAGAUUGUCCAAACACUUCUUGAACUCUGUCAGGCUUGGUGCUGUGGCCAUUAACUAGGGUGCCUGUUCCAGUGCCCAGCCACCCUCUGGGUGAAGAACCUUUUCCUGAUAUUCAACCUCAACCUCCCCUGGCUCAGCUCCAUGCCAUUUCCAUGAGUCCUGGUCAUGAGAGUGAAGUAUUGGAACCUGUCCUCCUCUUCCGCUCAUGAGGAAGUUGUAGACUGUGAUGAGAUCUUUCCUCAGUUUCCUCUUCUCUAGGCUGAACAGACAAAGUGACCUCAGCUUCUUCUCAUUCAGCUUCUCCUCAAGGCCCUCACCAUCUUUGUUGUCCUCCCUUGAGCACUCUGCAAUUGUUCAUAUUGUGUCACCCAAAACUGCCCCCAGCACUCGAGGUGAGGCUGCCCAGAGCAGAGCAGGACAAUCCCCUCCCUUGCCUGGCUGUGAUGCUGUGCCUGGUGCCCCCAGGACACUCUUGGCCCUCCUGGCUGCCAGGGCACUGCUGGCUCAUGUUCAACUUUGCCAUUAACCAGGACCCCCAGGUUCCUUUCCAUGGCACUGCUUUUCCAGUAUCUCGUUCUGUCUGUCCGUACAUCCAAGGCUGCCAGGAUGUAUGGAGAGACAUCCCAGGAGCAGAAUCUGGCACUGUCCCUUGUUGAAAUUCAUACACUAUGUGAUUGCCCAGUCCUCUGAUUUGUCCAGGUCUUUUUUCAAAGACUCUAAUUGAAUCCUUAACUGUUCUUCCCUUUUUUGAUCAGAGCCUAUGUUACCUGAAGGUACUUCAUUGGGUGAUCCACAUAUUUUUUUCUGCUAAGUUGUUUUGCCUUCAUGUACCUGUUUAUUUCCAGAGUGGAAAAUGUGGUAACUUCUGAUGACUAACUCUCUGUGCUUUUCACAAAACACUAUUUUCAGGGGCUUUUUUCUGCAUGAAUUUUGAAAAUAAAGAGUUUAAAGUAUAAAUGCA
rnacentral:lncRNA from 1 species